rnacentral:miRNA from 1 species
UGCACUUUUUGGUAAGAAGAUGUUAACAAAAGUUGUUCGUCAUGAUGAGGGCUACAACUUUGCUUAAUAUCCUUUUAACAAAUUAUGCGUAUUUAAGGAGAUAGCGCAGCGCAUGCGCAGAACGUAUCUCCUUACCUUUGCACUUUUUGGUAAGAAGAUGUUAACAAAAGUUGUUCGUCUUGAUGAGGGCUACAACUUUGCUUAAUAUCCUUUUAACAAAUUAUGCG